rnacentral:tRNA from 1 species
UUUUAAUAGUUUAAGUAAAUCAAAAAUAAAAUUAUUUUUUUUAAAACU